rnacentral:rRNA from 1 species
GCGUAAAGCGAGCGCAGACGGUUGAUUAAGUCUGAUGUGAAAGCCCGGAGCUCAACUCCCGGAAAUGGCAUGGAAACUGGUUAACUUGAGUGCAGUAGAGGUAAGUGGAACUCCAUGUGUAGCGGUGGAAUGCGUAGAUAUAUGGAAGAACACCAGUGGCGAAGGCGGCUUACUGGACUGUAACUGACGUUGAGGCUCGAAAGUGUGGGUAGCAAACAGGAUUAGAUACCCUGGUAGUCCACACCGUAAACGAUGAACACUAGGUGUUAGGAGGUUUCCGCCUCUUAGUGCCGAAGCUAACGCAUUAAGUGUUCCGCCUGGGGAGUACGACCGCAAGGUUGAAACUCAAAGGAAUUGACGGGGACCCGCACAAGCGGUGGAGCAUGUGGUUUAAUUCGAAGCAACGCGAAGAACCUUACCAGGUCUUGACAUCCUUUGAAGCUUUUAGAGAUAGAAGUGUUCUCUUCGGAGACAAAGUGACAGGUGGUGCAUGGUCGUCGUCAGCUCGUGUCGUGAGAUGUUGGGUUAAGUCCCGCAACGAGCGCAACCCUUAUUGUUAGUUGCCAGCAUUCAGAUGGGCACUCUAGCGAGACUGCCGGUGACAAACCGGAGGAAGGCGGGGACGACGUCAGAUCAUCAUGCCCCUUAUGACCUGGGCUACACACGUGCUACAAUGGCGUAUACAACGAGUUGCCAACCCGCGAGGGUGAGCUAAUCUCUUAAAGUACGUCUCAGUUCGGAUUGUAGUCUGCAACUCGACUACAUGAAGUCGGAAUCGCUAGUAAUCGCGGAUCAGCACGCCGCGGUGAAUACGUUCCCGGGUCUUGUACACACCGCCCGUCACACCAUGGGAGUUUGUAAUGCCCAAAGCCGGUGGCCUAACCUUUUAGGAAGGAGCCGUCUAAGGCAGGACAGAUGACUGGGG